GAAAGGCUCGUCGCCGCUCUGGGGAUUCAUUGCCUCCGAAGACUCCUAAUCUUCGCCCCAACUCCGAUGGCUGCGGAGUGAGCAAAAAUAUGGCCCUCAGGUACUCGGCCAGCCUAGAGGUAUGGAGGUGGUCGUACGGAGGCAUGCGUGGCAUACGAAGGCAUCACGCGCGUGAGGAGUGGCUCGAAGGGGAGCCCGUACGUGGCAACGGCGGCUGAAGGGUUCCAGAAACCCUAGUGAUUUCUGGAAUACUUUUUCAAAAUAGGCUAAUUGGGCUGAAUAGGGUUUUGGGUUAGGUGUUGGGCCACUGUAACUGGGCCAAUCAGAUUUAGUGUUCGGUCAUGGGCAUUUGGGCUAGUUGGGUUUGGGUAGUGGAUUUGGGCUAAUUAGGUUUGGGUAAUGGAUUUGGGCCAUUAGGCCUGCUGUAAAAAAAUGGACUGUAUUAUUAUUUUUUGGACUUUAAUUUUUAAUUUUUAAUUUUGGGUUA